rnacentral:misc_RNA from 1 species
GAUGAAGAACGUAGCGAAAUGCGAUAAGUAGUGUGAAUUGCAGAAUUCAGUGAAUCAUCGAAUCUUUGAACGCACAUUGCGCCCCUUGGUGUUCCAUGGGGCAUGCCUGUUCGAGCGUCAUUUGUACCUUCAAGCUCUGCUUGGUGUUGGGUGUUUGUCUCGCCUCUGCGUGUAGACUCGCCUCAAAACAAUUGGCAGCCGGCGUAUUGAUUUCGGAGCGCAGUACAUCUCGCGCUUUGCACUCAUAACGACGACGUCCAAAAGUACAUUUUUACACUCUUGACCUCGGAUCAGGUAGGGAUACCCGCUGAACUUAAGCAUAUCAAUAAGCGGAGGA